rnacentral:ribozyme from 1 species
AUAAGUUUGAGGCCAUAGCAGAAGUACUCAUGUCGCAGCACUGUCAGAUUUCAGCAGAUCUGUGAAUUCUGCU